rnacentral:snRNA from 1 species
GGAUGUGAGGGAGAUGUGGCCCUCACGUUUGUCACCCCACUGAUCACCAGGGUUGGUAUGGCUGAUCUGGUUGGUUAGGUGGUGUGCCCUUCCUCCGUCACCAUUCCUGAAGUUGCAUGUUUGGCCAAAGAGGAUGACCUUCCAAGAAAGAGGAGGGUCGAUCUUCAGUCAGGGGUACCUGAGUAGUUGGGGUACCCGAGCUUCAGAGACUCAUCCAAAAGAGGCAUUGCAUAUGGCAGUCUGCCUUUAAAGU